CGUGCUCCAGCCCUGGAAAGGUUAUGGCAAGAAUACCCGAAGGAAUAUUUCUACAAUUAUCUUAAUAUGCUCAAUACACAAGGCAAUGUUGCAAAUAAUUAAAAGUUCAUGUUAUGAUCUGAUAAGUGCUUGUUUUAGAACACUAAGCUUGUCCUUGGGAAACCAUCAAUUUAUGUCAGCGAAGUGGUUUCCCCUCCAACACCUACCUAUAUCAAGAUCAAGUCAACGAGAUCUGCAAUAUUUAUUAUAGACAUAUGCAUCGACAACCGCCCUUUUAAAGUUUUUAUAAAUAGAAAGGAAGAGGGGGUUGGAGAUCUCAAAUGUGGUGAUGAUGGAGAGACCGAUUGAUUGG
rnacentral:lncRNA from 1 species